GUAGCGUAAUCACUUGUCUUUUAAAUAAAGACCCGUAUGAAAGGCAAAACGAAAGUUCAACUGUCUCUUUAAUCUAAUCAGUGAAAUUAAUCUUUCCGUGCAGAAGCGGAAAUAAUUCUAUAAGACGAGAAGACCCUAUGGAGCUUUAAAUAAAAAUUAACCAUACUUUAACUACUAGCCCAAGGGCAAAGAAUAAAAAUGUAUGACCAUAAUUUUAGUUUUCGGUUGGGGCGACCACGGAAGAAAACUCAUCCUCCGCGAUAAAAAGUCUAGAACAACAGUUCAAAACUUAAAACAUUUGUUAUAAUGACCCACUAAGUGAUCAACGAACCAAGUUACCCUAGGGAUAACAGCGCAAUCCUUUCUAAGAGUUCAUAUCGACGAAUGGGUUUACGACCUCGAUGUUGGAUCAGGACACCCCAAUGGUGCAGCCGCUAUUAAAGGUUCGUUUGUUCAACGAUUAAAGUCCUACGUGAUCUGAGUUCAGACCGGACGUCGCCUGUUUAUCAAAAACAUAACGUGA
rnacentral:rRNA from 1 species